GCCGGGGUGGCCGAGCGGCCCAAGGCGCGGGACCGCCGUAGCGGCGGCGCCAAACUCGAGGCCUAGGCAAGAAAUCCCGUCCCCGUCCAGGGGGCGUGGGUUCAAAUCCCACCCCCGGCG
rnacentral:tRNA from 1 species